UUGAUUUUGAAACAAAACAAAGAAUGAACACCGUUGUAGCACUACAUAGUAAAACAUGUUUCGUAAUUGCGCGGCCAUUCUUGAAGAUUCUUCUUGUCUGUUUUGAUAUCACUGCAUGUGACGACGCACUCAGUUUAUUUAGCCGCCGCACUUGACUACGAAUUCCCAGCAGACAGAGGAAACCACGCACGCAAAACAGAUCAGUGCGCUGAAUUCAGCAUGGAGUGUAGUCUAUGAUGCAAUCCAACAUUAAAUAACAAUAACAAAC